UAAUACGGAGGAUCCAAGCGUUAUCCGGAUUUAUUGGGUUUAAAGGGUGCGCAGGCGGAAUGAUAAGUCAGUGGUGAAAUCUUACGGCUCAACUGUAAAACUGCCAUUGAUACUGUCGUUCUUGAGUAUAGUUGAAGUGGGCGGAAUGUGUCAUGUAGCGGUGAAAUGCAUAGAUAUGACACAGAACACCGAUUGCGAAGGCAGCUCACUAAACUGUAACUGACGCUCAUGCACGAAAGCGUGGGGAGCAAACAGGAUUAGAUACCCUGGUAGUCCACGCCGUAAACGAUGAUCACUCGAUGUUGGCGAUACACAGUCAGCGUCUGAGCGAAAGCAUUAAGUGAUCCACCUGGGGAGUACGAUCGCAAGGUUGAAACUCAAAUGAAUUGACGG
rnacentral:rRNA from 1 species